AUUGAACGCUGGCGGCAUGCUUUACACAUGCAAGUCGAACGGCAGCGCGGGCUUCGGCCUGGCGGCGAGUGGCGAACGGGUGAGUAAUACAUCGGAACGUGCCCAGUAGUGGGGGAUAGCUCGGCGAAAGCCGGAUUAAUACCGCAUACGACCUGAGGGUGAAAGCGGGGGAUCUUCGGACCUCGCGCUAUUGGAGCGGCCGAUGGCAGAUUAGCUAGUUGGUGGGGUAAAGGCCUACCAAGGCGACGAUCUGUAGCUGGUCUGUGAGGACGACCAGCCACACUGGGACUGAGACACGGCCCAGACUCCUACGGGAGGCAGCAGUGGGGAAUUUUGGACAAUGGGCGAAAGCCUGAUCCAGCAAUGCCGCGUGUGUGAUGAAGGCCUUCGGGUUGUAAAGCACUUUUGGCGGGAACGAAAAGGACUGUGCCAAUACCACGGUUCGAUGACGGUACCCGCAGAAUAAGCACCGGCUAACUACGUG
rnacentral:rRNA from 1 species